UACGGGGGGGGCAAGCGUUGUUCGGAAUUACUGGGCGUAAAGGGCUCGUAGGUGGCCAACUAAGUCAGACGUGAAAUCCCUCGGCUUAACCGGGGAACUGCGUCUGAUACUGGAUGGCUUGAGUUCGGGAGAGGGAUGCGGAAUUCCAGGUGUAGCGGUGAAAUGCGUAGAUAUCUGGAGGAACACCGGUGGCGAAGGCGGCGUUCUGGACUGUCUCUGACACUGAAGAACGAAAGCCAGGGGAGCAAACGGG
rnacentral:rRNA from 1 species